rnacentral:rRNA from 1 species
UACGUAGGGGGCAAGCGUUGUCCGGAAUCAUUGGGCGUAAAGAGCGUGUAGGCGGUCCGGUAAGUCGGCUGUGAAAGUCCAGGGCUCAACCCUGGGAUGCCGGUCGAUACUGCCGGACUAGAGUUCGGAAGAGGCGAGUGGAAUUCCCGGUGUAGCGGUGAAAUGCGCAGAUAUCGGGAGGAACACCAAUGGCGAAGGCAGCUCGCUGGGACGUUACUGACGCUGAGACGCGAAAGCGUGGGGAGCAAACAGG